GGACGGCUAGCUCAGGAAAACUUCCUGAGCAUCUUUCUCUCUGCAUUCAGGAGGCAGCCAGGCUCAUGUCCUCCUAGGAGGGGACGGGAAGAGUGACAGAUUGGCAAAAGGACCAUUAUACCUCUGACAGCUUACGGAUGUAUGGGAAACGAGGUUGGCAAAAGAUGGCAUUAGAUGUUCCUGCUGCCAGCUAAUGGUGUCCAGUCAUGUGGCGAGUGGCUGCGUGGGCCUUAGCUGCCAACUGGGGUUAAAGCACAACUUUGGAGAGGAAGAGAAAGAGUCACACGAAUAAUGUAUAUGUGCGCCUUAUGAAGAGAUGGGCUUUCUGACAUGCGGUUACCUGAACCUCCGGCAGCUGCUGAACACCCCUGUGCUAGCUGACAUGAAGACGCUCCAUCUGAAGUUUGUCACUUCAAGCAAGAUGAUUGUUAAGGUUUUGGGUGGGCAUUUUUCCUAGCAGAUGUUUGUCUUCACUUACCAUUUGUUUUAAUUAUUGCUGAUGUUUUUGCCUAUCAAAUCGCAGACUUCUUCAAAGGAAAAGGAAUAAGCAGUUGUCAUAACAACAAAGCUCUUCAUUACCACAGGAACCUUUGACAGCUUUAUUUAAAACAUUAAAAAAAAAUUAAAAGAAAAAUCCAACCAAUUAUUUUUAUCAAUCUGAUUCAUGUUCUUCUUAAACAGAUUACAGUGUGUUCUCUAGCAGUUACACUGAAAGGUGUAUGGCAUGAAUAUUUAUUAUAAUGUAAACUUUGGGAAAAAAAUUAAAAGGGGGUUUGUUGUCUUUAUGAGCUUCCUGUGGCAAUAGCUUGCCUUGACUUUUAAUUAGAGUAUAUGAUGUGAAAUUUCAAGGUGGAAUUUUUCUUUUUUUCUCACACAUGUGAAGCAAAAUGCUCAUAGUAUGAAAUAAAAAUACCGAGUUAGCCGUUCA